rnacentral:lncRNA from 1 species
CCUAUGUGUGCAGAGGUGGAUGGGCAGUGGUUGAGCAAGAGAACUUGGAAAUAGUCAACAAUUCCUUCUUUAUGUUCACUACAAUAGCUGCAAAUUAGCUUGGGUAACCUGUCUCUAACCUAGGAGUGGUCUUUUGCAGGAGAUUCAACUACUGUGCUCCUAUUCUUUGGGUAAAAUAAGCACAAAUAUGCCAUACAGGUGCUUUCUAAAUACAUUACUAAAAUGACAAUAUGUUAUUUAUCAAUUUUUUUAUUUGAUCCCUUUAUAAUUUAGAAAAUAUAGAUAAGUGGAUGUUCAUUAGAGAUUCACUUUAUCAGCCAACACGUCUUAUACAUAUGGUCAAUAAUGGGCCAGCUUAUCCAUUUUUCAGUUUAGUGUUUUCUGUAUCUUUUUUCCAANNNNNNNNNNNNNNNNNNNNNNNNNNNNNNNNNNNNNNNNNNNNNNNNNNNNNNNNNNNNNNNNNNNNNNNNNNNNNNNNNNNNNNNNNNNNNNNNNNNCAGCUUAUCCAUUUUUCAGUUUAGUGUUUUCUGUAUCUUUUUUCCAAAAUAUAUACCUUUUUCUGUAGCAUAGGCAGCCCCUUUCCUCAAUACCAUUCCUAGUUUGAAUUUCUCCCCUCAUUGUAUACUUUUGGUCAUGUGAGUGGGAAAGCAGAAUGAAAAGAAAGAUGUGCAUAAAGAUGAAACCGUGUCCUCACUUCCCAAAAUUUCCUCAUAGGUACAUGUUGCCUUUGACUUCACCCUGAGGACACUUGGCCAAGGAAAUCAAUGAGAAAAGUUGCCCCAUGUAGAUUUCAUAUAAACCUAAGGAAAAGAGAGAGACAGCUACACAAACCUACUGAGGCUGAAGCCAGUCAACCAAGCAUAGUCUGUGAUGUUCCAUUUGUACUAAAUGAGGUCAUCUCUGAACCCCAUAAGUCAUCGAGAAAAGACCAUGGCUGCUAGCUUGGACCAAUCAAAAUCUGUACCUGGAUUAGAUGGACUGUGUGUUUUCAGCCACUUUCUGCUAGCUUGGAGCAAAUGCGUGGACAUUCUCCUUUGGAGACAGGCUAUGGAUGGAGUCAAAGAACUUAAGAUGAAGCUUCCACCACUGUGUGAUACUGGGAAACAGAACAUAGCUCCCAGAUUUGAAGAAAUAUCCAUAGCUAGCAGAUUUGAGAAAUAUCGUUCUCUACUGGAAAAUCUUCUGAAAGUUAAAAUAAAACGCAGGGAGGUCAUUCAGAGGAUUUUGAUGAGCUGGAAAAAAAGAAAAACAAGCCAGUCAAGUACUCAUUCAAGUUGGUAAUUAAAACAUUGUUGAAGCUUUGGCUGUAUUUAUAUGAAAACAGCUCAAUUUGCCUACAGCAGAAAGUAGCUGUCUGGGAAGAAAUGCAAUAUUCAAGCAGCCUGUAAUCAAAACAGCUACCCUACACCUGGGAAGAGUAUCUUAGUAAUUUUUUUGAGUAGGACAAGGGUGGAAAUUAAAUGCUUUUCUUUGCAGCAGCAGUAAUAACAGUAAUUGUAAAAUGACUUUUUUUUUUUUUUCCUGCAAUGUGAUGAUUCCUUUGAUUGUCACUGAGCACAGGAAGUAGCAAGGUUUGAGAGUAUAGCUUGUGUCCUCAUGAGGGAAAAGGGAUCGGGCACUUCAGAGAAUAGCCUAUACUUUUUGAAUAUGAUGCUCUCAGUGAAUUAUCCAUGCAGCCCUGGAUGAACCAUCUGAAUUAUAAUCUCCUUGGGCUGGAGAAGAACUUAAUGAUGAUCUGGUCUCCCCCUGCUCCAUUUGAAGUUUGAAUUUCUUCUAACAAUUCCUUUCCAAGCUGUCAGAUGUAUUCUUCAAUACCUCUGGUACCAUGGGACACAACUCCAAAGGCAGUGUGCUCUGACCUUGAUCAGCAUUUACUGUAAGAACUGUCUUCUUUACAUGGAGCUGAAAGCCCAUCAUUUUUUCACUUAUAUGAAAUCGUGACUGGGGCUCACCUAAGUCUUCUUUUGUCUUGGCAAAUAUUUCCAUGUGCAAGGGACCAAUAAGAAAUAAUAAUUCUAAGAAUUGAAAUAUAGGAAAACUUGUCGGUUUAAUCCUAUAAUAAAUUACUCAGCAUUAAUAAUAAUAAAAAAAAUCCACAGAUGUUCAGAGCUCAGAUGUGAGCCAGGCAUGACUUAAGGCUUCUCUCCCACCUAGGUCUUCACUUUCCUCUGACUUUUCAUUUAAGGUUCCACUGGGCUCUAAGAUGUGGGCUCACAUGGCACUCACAGAGACAUCCACAUUAGAUAGAUGCAUUCUUCUAUUUGUUUACCAAAGAAAUAGUUAUCCCUGAGCAUAGUCUGUCUCUCGAGCUUCUUCAUUGUUCAGUAGGAUUGCAGCGACUUGACUAUGGAUGACUGGCAUGAGCAAAGAAAGCCUCCAGCCUCAGUUUGUUGCAGUAUAUUUGUGGAUUCUAUUCUGAAUAUCAGAGUGCAUAAAUAUAUACCAAAUUAGUAUUGCAGGUAAGAAAUGUUGCCAGGAGAAAGAAGAAAUAGAUUACCAUGGACUGGGACCACCUAGAGAAAUGUGCCUUGAACUUGUUUGGAUAGAAAGGAGUAAAACAUUUCAGGCAAGAGAAGGAACAGAUGUAAAAAUAGAAAGGAAUAGACACAUUGUGUUUGGGGACACAGAUGAAAUCAACAGACACUUGUCCCAGGAAAAAGGACAAGGAGAGGUUUAAUAAAUACAAGUGUUGCCAAAGCCGAGUCAGGAAGUCCAGAAAGACCCAUGUGUAGUUCUUGUAUCUGAAUACCAGUAACUGAGAACUAGGAACAAAACAUAAGAGGUGCUUCUCUUUUGCCAGUGACUUUCAGCCGAGAGACAAGCUUAGAGCAGAUGAGUUCAUUUGCCUAAAUCAUGAGCCCACCUAUUCAAGUUCACAUUUGUAAAUGUAGAAAAUAGUUUAUUCUGCACAAAGGAAAUGAAUGUAGUUUUGUAAUUGUUUCUACAGUGUCACUGUAAUGUAUGCACGUGUGCAUGCUCAGUUGUGUCUGACUCUUUGUGACUCGAUGGACUGUAGCCUCUCAGGCUCCUUUGUCCAUGGGAUUUUCCAUGCAAGAAUACUGGAGUGGGUUGCCAUUUCCUNNNNNNNNNNNNNNNNNNNNNNNNNNNNNNNNNNCCUGUAUCUCCUGCAUUGGCAGACAGAUUCUUUAUCACUGAGUCACUUGGAGAUCCCCUUCACUCUGACAGUACCCAUUAAAAUCAUUGUGCAGAUAUAUGAAACCAAACUGGAAUUUUUGAAAAAUCUCUUGUAUAACAUUGAAGUUUAAUUGCAAGACAGAAAGCAAGUUUGCAAUAUCCCAAGAGCCUCUAUUCUCAAUUGGAACAGUAUUGACAUCAAGGAGGUAAAAGUUGAUCCUUGAAAGGUAGGGCAAAAUAAUUUACUCCUUAUGCAUAAAGUGCAGAUAUAUAUAGUAUAUAAACUGAUAUGCAACAUANNNNNNNNNNNNNNNNNNNNNAGGGCAGCAGUUAGGUUAAAAAAAAAAUCCCAAAUUAGUUUAAAAGGCUCAUUUAA